rnacentral:rRNA from 1 species
CCUGUACCCCAAACCGACACAGGUGGGUGAGGAGAGAAUCCUAAGGCGUUUGAGAUAACCAUGGUGAAGGAACUCGGCAAAAUGACACCGUAACUUCGGGAGAAGGUGUGCCCUUGCUAUGUGAAGGCCCUGCGGCUGGAGCAGAGAAGGGUUGCAAAUACCAGGUGGUCGCGACUGUUUACUAAAAACACAGCACUCUGCAAACUCGUAAGAGGACGUAUAGGGUGUGACGCCUGCCCGGUGCUGGAAGGUUAAUUGAUGGGGUCAGCCGCAAGGCGAAGCUCUUGAUCGAAGCCCCAGUAAACGGCGGCCGUAACAAUAACGGUCCUAAGGUAGCGAAAUUCCUUGUCGGGUAAGUUCCGACCUGCACGAAUGGCGUAACGAUGGCCACACUGUCUCCACCAUGGACUCAGUGAAAUUGAAAUUGCGGUUAAGAUGCCGUAUACCCGCGGCUAGACGGAAAGACCCCGUGCACCCUUACUAUAGCUUUACACUGGACUUUGAAUAUAUCUGUGUAGGAUAGCUGGGAGGCUUUGAAGCGUUAACGCCAGUUAGCGUGGAGCCAACCUUGAAAUACCAGCCUGGUCUGUUUGAGGUUCUAACCUAGAUCCGUAAUCCGGAUCGGGGACAGUGUAUGGUGGGUAGUUUGACUGGGGCGGUCUCCUCCAAAAGAGUAACGGAGGAGCGCGAAGGUACCCUCAGCGCGGUCGGAAAUCGCGCGUUGCGUGCAAAGGCACAAGGGUGCUUGACUGCGAGACAGACACGUCGAGCAGGUACGAAAGUAGGUCUUAGUGAUCCGGUGGUUCUGAAUGGAAGGGCCAUCGCUCAACGGAUAAAAGGUACGCCGGGGAUAACAGGCUGAUACCACCCAAGAGUUCAUAUCGACGGUGGUGUUUGGCACCUCGAUGUCGGCUCAUCUCAUCCUGGGGCUGAAGCCGGUCCCAAGGGUAUGGCUGUUCGCCAUUUAAAGAGGUAUGCGAGCUGGGUUUAGAACGUCGUGAGACAGUUCGGUCCCUAUCUGCCGUGGGCGUUGGAGAUUUGAGAGGAGCUGCUCCUAGUACGAGAGGACCGGAGUGGACGUACCUCUGGUAUUCCGGUUGUCACGCCAGUGGCAUUGCCGGGUAGCUAUGUACGGACGGGAUAACCGCUGAAAGCAUCUAAGCGGGAAGCCUCCCUCAAGAUGAGAUCUCCCUGGAACUUUAAGUUCCCUGAAGGGCCCUCGUAGACUACGAGGUUGAUAGGCUGGGUGUGGAAGUGCAGUAAUGCACGUAGCUAACCAGUACUAAUUGCCCGUGAGACUUGACC